rnacentral:tRNA from 1 species
GGGAAUAUGGCUCAGUUGGUAGAGUGCUUGUCUCACAUGCACAAGGCCCUGGGUUCAAUCCCCAGCACCACCA